rnacentral:misc_RNA from 1 species
GUAGGUGAACCUGCGGAAGAAUCAUUAACACGUAUCCAACGUUAAACCCCUGUGAACCUUAAUACCGCCGCUCCUGGCUCAGUCGCGAAAACUAGCAGUCCCUUGUACUCGUCCGAGAAAAGUAAGGAGGAAGGGACUUCUGGUAGUCAGAGCGCUUGGAGUUAGUGGCUUGUUUUUCCCCAAGCAAUCAGUGAGUGAAAGUGUCAUUGGAUGUGUAAGGAUUUCGCCUAAACAGCGAUCACUGUCGCGGUGAAAUAAGCAUCAGAAGCUUUAAUGCUUCCCUCACUUCCUAUUGCCGCCCGCUGCUGACAACGCCGGGUAUUUAAAAACGUACUAACAACUGUUAACAAUGGACAUCUUGGUUCUC